CCCGGGACGUUUCCGGAUUAUUGGGCGUAAAGAGUCCGUAGGUGGUCAUGCAAGUCUGCUGUCAAAGCCCACAGCUUAACUGUGGAUCGGCGGUGGAAACUGUGUGACUUGAGUACGGUAGGGGUAGAGGGAAUUCCCAGUGUAGCGGUGAAAUGCGUAGAUAUUGGGAAGAACACCGGUGGCGAAAGCGCUCUACUGGACCGUAACUGACACUGAGGGACGAAAGCUAAGGUAGCGAAAGGGAUUAGAUACCCCUGUAGUCUUAGCCGUAAACGAUGGAUACUAGGCGUUGUCUGUAUCGACCCGGACAGUGCCGAAGCUAACGCGUUAAGUAUCCCGCCUGGGGAGUACGCACGCAAGUGUGAAACUCAAAGGAAUUGACGGGGGCCCGCACAAGCGGUGGAGUAUGUGGUUUAAUUCGAUGCAACGCGAAGAACCUUACCAAGAUUUGACAUCCCGUGAAUCUUGCAGAGAUGCGAGAGUGCCUUCGGGAGCACGGAGACAGGUGGUGCAUGGCUGUCGUCAGCUCGUGUCGUGAGAUGUUGGGUUAAGUCCCGCAACGAGCGCAACCCUCGUCCUUAGUUGCCAGCAUUAAGUUGGGCACUCUAGGGAGACUGCCGGGGACAACUCGGAGGAAGGUGGGGAUGACGUCAAGUCAUCAUGCCCCUUACAUUUUGGGCUACACACGUACUACAAUGGUCGGGACAAAGGGCAGCAACCCCGCGAGGGCAAGCGAAUCUCAUCAAACCCGGCCUCAGUUCAGAUUGCAGGCUGCAACUCGCCUGCAUGAAGGAGGAAUCGCUAGUAAUCGCAGGUCAGCAUACUGCGGUGAAUCCGUUCCCGGGCCUUGUACACACCGCCCGUCACACCAUGGAAGCUGGCAACGCCCGAAGUCGUUACUCUAACCGUUCGCGGAGGAGGGCGCCGAAGGCAGUGCUAGUGACUGGGGUGAGCGACAA
rnacentral:rRNA from 1 species